rnacentral:rRNA from 1 species
GUGAACGCUGGCGGUAGGCCUAACACAUGCAAGUCGAACGGCAGCACAGUAAGAGCUUGCUCUUACGGGUGGCGAGUGGCGGACGGGUGAGGAAUACAUCGGAAUCUACUUUUUCGUGGGGGAUAACGUAGGGAAACUUACGCUAAUACCGCAUACGACCUACGGGUGAAAGCAGCGGAUCUUCGGACCUUGCGCGACUGAAUGAGCCGAUGUCGGAUUAGCUAGUUGGCGGGGUAAAGGCCCACCAAGGCGACGAACCGUAGCUGGUCUGAGAGGAUGAUCAGCCACACUGGAACUGAGACACGGUCCAGACUCCUACGGGAGGCAGCAGUGGGGAAUAUUGGACAAUGGGCGCAAGCCUGAUCCAGCCAUACCGCGUGGGUGAAGAAGGCCUUCGGGUUGUAAAGCCCUUUUGUUGGGAAAGAAAAGCAGCAGGUUAAUACCCCGCUGUUCUGACGGUACCCAAAGAAUAAGCACCGGCUAACUUCGUG